CGCGUGUGUGCAUGUGUGUACGCUUCUAUGGAUGCAUAUCCACAUGCAUGGGUGUGCACAUACGUCUGUUUUGUGUCUUUACGUUGUGAUGUGUGUGUGUGUGUGCAUAUUCAUGUACAUAUCUGUGUGUUGCUAAGAUGUAUGCCAUUGUAUGUGUCUCUGCUUGUGAGUGUAUGUACUGUUUAUAAGUUCCUAAAUGAUAGGAGCAGAAUUAGGCCAUACGGACCAUCAUUCUACUCCGCCAUUCAAUCAUGACUGAUUUAUCUUUCUCUCUCAACCCCAUUCUCCGGCCUUCUCCCCAUAACCCCUGACACCCGUACUAAUGAAGAACCUAUCACUCUCUUCCCUAAAGAUUAUUGACUUGGCUUCCACAACCUUAUGCGUGUGCGUGUGUGUGUAUGUGUGUGUGUGUGUGUGUGUGUGUGUGUGUGUGUGUGUGUGUGUGUGUGUGUGUGUGUGUGCGUGUGUGUGUGUGCAUGCACAUGCAACCAAGCAUAUAUGUCUGUGCAUUCUGCAGACUGUGUAGUUGUAUAGGGUUCUGUGUGCUGCCCUAUGCCAUACUCUAGCCUCCAGCACAUCACUGUCUUGAAUGUUUCACAUGACCUGGUGACUGCAGUACCGGCCUCCAGUCACAGGGGGCAGAAUUGUCCACCUCUCAAAAUACCCUCUGGGUGCCCACUCCCACUUCCUCCCCGGGUUUUCUGCAGAUGUCUCUCCCCAUCACCCACCACCCAUCUUCCACUCAGCGCCUCAUCCACUCGCAGCAGGAGUGUGGACUCCUGGGCUGGAAGGGUCGGUGGGAGGGGAAGGUUGCCUCCAUCGGCCCAAUGCUAACCCCGGCGCCAGAGAAGGAAGGCGUGGCCUCUGCAUUUGUUUAGCGCCAUGUUCGACUGCUAUGGUGGCCGGAGGGAAGAGUGCUCCACUCUAUCAAUGAUCAUUCUGAUGAUGCAAACAUGAAUUGUUCGCAACUAGUGGAAGCACUGAUGAAGCUAAGGAAAAGUGGAAGUGGUCCAGAUACACUCCGAGACUUGGUUCAGCAGAUUCUGCACCAGUACUGAAGUCACCUCACCGCUUGCUGAAGAAGAGUUGAAAAUAGAAUUGGGGGCCAAGAACAGGAAAAGGGAUCUUUUGCUGGGGAGGAGAGACUGUGACAGUUCACCCGGAUACCACACGUGCAGCAAACCUAGCGUGAACAGCAAAUCAGGCAGCAUCCGUGGAGAGAGAAAUGCUGAGGUCACAAUAUAGAAGUAGGUUCUGACCAAAUCUGACAUGGUCAAGCUGAUUGCCUCAGUUUGUUGAGAGUUGUCACAUGCUUCAGCAGAUGAGUUGCUGGACUUCAGUGAAACUGUACAAAAGGUGAAAGACAGAGAGACCAGACACGGAGGAAGAUGGAGAUGGUGAUCUAUUUUUGGGAACACUCUUAUUUCAUCCAACGCCAACUGGUGCAGCUGAGAAAGCAGAAUGGAUUGUGAAAGAAAUUGCAAUUACACCAGUCCUGAAAC